rnacentral:lncRNA from 1 species
UUAAGGUUGCACAUGAACAUCUCUCACUUCCAACUCUCUCUCUCUCUUAACUUCUCUAUCAACUUUCUCUUUCUCCUAGGGUUCUUGGAGGUAUGCCCUUUAUUCCUGUAACCACAUUCACAUAAAUUCUUCAAGCUCUUAUACUUAUUGAUUUUAGCCGAGUUCCUUGAUUAUGCAUAUUAUUGUGGAAAAUUAUACCUCUAGCAGACCUUCCUUUUAUUUGAUUAUGUUGAAUAUGCUAAUUUGUUGAACCCUAAUAAAAAGUUCCAGUCUUGAUUUAGUACUAGCAGCUUUUGUAGUCUUCUUCUGUUGUAUUUGUAAUAUUUUAGUGGUUUAGGGGUCUGUUCUGUAUUUAGCUCUUCUUUAUUUGGUGGAUUAGGGCUUGAAUUUGUUCUCUAAGCAUAAAAUUGGCAGAAGCAGAGGCUAGUUAACAUUAAAUUUCAAAUUUGUUUCCCCAUCAGGUAAAUAUUUACCAAUGGAUCCUCCAUUUUUUGGGUUUUCUGGUUCUGCCAAAGGAAUCCAAUGGGGGAGCCAAUCUGAAUCUGUUUUCCCUGAUAAAAAAUUAGUUAGAGGAAAUAGAUUUGAAAAUGUUGUUCCAGAUCAAGAACAAGUCAAUGGAACUCAAUUUGAAAAUACCUUUCUAGAUCAAAGCUUUAGUGGAAUUCAGUUUAUUCCAAAUCAACCUUCCAUCAGUAACAAGGUCCCUAGUUCGACGGAGAGUGCUGAGGAAGAAUUUCUGGAAGACUGUGAUUUAUCGGAUGCGGU